GACAUCUCCCAUCAUCCAAGAGUUGCACUAGGGCAUCUGAAGGCUGGGAAGAACAUCAAGAGAUAGUGCAAGGCCCUUCCUGAGAGUGCUGAACCAGGUUCCCUGUGACUGGUAUCUGAGUGCUAUUGGACAUUUUAGACCACAAUGACAGAGGAGAGGAAUCAGAAGUCUCAGUCCUGGAUGUAGCUGUGCAGAUUUCAGUGAACCGAACCACGUUGCCUUCUUGCUGACCAGCCUUUCUUAUGUAAAAUGGGAUCAUAAUGGCCGCCUGGAGCUUCAAAGGAGAUUACUAUUUAGAUGGAGAAGCACGAUGGUCAUGCCUGGUGAACACUUAUGCAGGUUGGAGGCAAUGAGCUACCUUCAGUUGGUCUGCUUAUGUGUAACAAGUGGUUUGUGA
rnacentral:lncRNA from 1 species